GAAGGGGAGCGGGGGGAUGGGCUCGGCAGCCGCCGCGGAGCACCCUUGCUGGGUGGCACCGGGGUCCUCGCCCUCCCCCGGUUACCCGUGCGGUCUCUGCCCCCUGGACAGUCUUCCCCGAGACCGUAUCCUGGGUCCUUUCCUCUUCUUGGCUCUCCCUAGCCCAGGGUCGGGCACCCAACAGGGCUGGAGAAAUAUUUGUUCAGUGAAGGAAGGAAAAGUGGGGGGAAGGAUCUGAAUCCACGUUUCUUUUCUUUUCUUUCUUUCUUUCUUUUUUUUUUUUUUUUUUUUAGAUCCCAUUUUAAUGUAACCUCUGUACCCAAGGUGGGGCUCGAACUCACAACCUGAGAUCAGAGCGUCUCGUGCUCUACUGACUGAAUGAGCCAGCCAUUCUCCCCAGCAUCCAACUUUCUUACUUGGGGUAAAGAGAACUCUCACUUGGGGUAAAGAGAACUACCUUUCUCUUGGCCAAGGUCAAGGUGUCCUUCCUCUCGGAAGAACGGGGCGGGGAGGGAGGGGGUUCGGUUAAAGCUGCAUUGCUCCGCCCACAGCCGCUCAGCCAACAGCAGCAACCGCACCUGUCUUUCCCAUACAGCGCCCAGGUCCUUUGGGUCCUCACAACUUUGCCAGUUAGGCGGAGCAGACAGGAUUGCCUCCCUUUUUUAGGGAGAAGGAAAUAGCUCCUAAGUAGGUUAGGAGGGAACCGACUGACUGAUUCCAGAUUCUUUUCUUUUUUCACUAAAUUCCAAGAAUAGUUGAUGAUAGAAUCUCUGUGUCAUAGUUCUGAUUUCAAAGAACAGGAAAGAAUAUAUGCAUAUAUACAUGUAUACAUACAUGCGAUUUUUUCUAUUGAUACCUUGGGUGAUAUUUUUAAGCACUUGAAUUUGUAAUUGGAAAAUAUUUUUGCACCAAUUUUAGGAACAUCAUUCUUGCUCGGAAAUCUGGUUGAUUAACAUCUAAUUCUUAAAAUCUUUUCUUUGCACUCCACUUUCAUGACAGUAACAUUAAUUUGCUCCUUAAAAUGACUGUCAAUUUACCAUUGACCCCAAUCCCUCCAUCCAGGUUCCAUUUGAAUUUCAAAAAACCGUCUGCUGUUUCUUGACAAAUUGAGUUUCCUAGAUGAAUUGUGUAAAGUAAUUUAGGUCAUUAGUUCUAAUAAGUGUUUCAUAGCUCUCAUUAUGAUUGAAUGAAGAGAGUGAUCAUUUCAUCUUAACUUGAAACUUUCCAUUAUUCAGGAAACCUUAAGUCAUAUUCUUUAUUCUUGUCUAAACUUAAUGGGUCAAUGUAUUUAUUCUGACCCGAAGAAGGGAAAAUGGAAGCAGGAACAAAAUUUCAUGGAGUUUCAGAAUGUCCAGUAUCACUCACGCUGUGUAGCGCUUUACCACUAUGAGAUUGUUUUGAAAUGGAUGAGGAAAGCAGGAAGUCUCCGAGUCUAAAGGAGGAGACGAGUGUGACCAGGCUGCUGGUGAGAGAUGGCAAGAGAGCUCAGUCCUGUAAGAGAAUUGGAGGACACAAUCACUCGUUCUGGAAUAAGCCAGCAGCCAUGUCACGAGAAUGCAAAAACAGUUCUAGGGAGAGAGUCGUGUGGUUGGUGUGGAGAGGGAUUGAGGCCCCCUUGACCAACCGACAUGUGAGUGAGCCUUCUUAGAAGCAGAACCUCCUGUCUCAGUCAAGCCUUCAAAGACUGCACUCCUGGCAAACAUCUUGACUAACGAAGGACCCUGAACUAGAACCGCCUAGCAAAGCCACAGCCAAAUUCACCACCUUUAGAAACUGGGAGAUAAUAAAGAACUAUUGUUUUGAACUGCUAAUCUUGAGGAAAACUUAUCACCCAGAAAUACGUAACAGAAGUGUGUUGUUCUCCCCGAUUCCUUUUUUGCAAUUAUAAGCAA